GGGUUGGCCGUUUCCGCGUGAACGACACUUUUCCCAAUCUGUUCUGCGUGCUACACACCCAAUCUCGCUCGCACACCAGGCGCCGCACAACCCUAGCUCCCACUUUCCCCUCGAUCCACUGCCCCUCCCUCCUCCCCGCUCGUCACCAGGGCCUCGCUGCCGCCUACUCCUCCUCCACCACCAUUGCUGCUUCCCCACCUCGACUUCCCUCUCUCCGUUGUUUAUCCGGUCAUCGGCGGCGCCUGGUUCCGGAUCUGGCGCAACCAUCAGGAAGGUGCAAGAUGGUUCCACCAAUCCACUCCUCCCGCGGCGCGCACUGGCGCACACGACGUGCGUGAUGGGCGUCCGCACGAAUACCAUUCCCCAAUCCACAGCUGCUGCACCCUCCCUCCUCUUCCCCCAAUCCCUCGCCGACACAGCCACCGCGACCCUCCCCUCCUCCUCCAUCCGUCCUCCUCGGCCAUCGACGGUGCUUGGUUCGAGAUCUCGCGAUGGUUAGGCAAGCCCGGUGGUGGGGUGAAGGAGCAGGCGAGGCGGGCGACGAGGGGAAACAAGGGAAGAGGGAGGAGGCCGGCAAUAGGGUGAAGGAGCAGGCCGCCCAUCUUGGAGGUGGUGCCGCCGGCUAGGUACCAUUCACCGUCCCCGGUUAGGGGCUAUUCGCUGUCGCUGGCCUCACUCGCCACCAAUUUUGCCAUGGAGAUGGUAUGAGAACUUCCGUCGCCAGCCAAUCGAGCCCCAUAUCCAGUGCGCGACCCAAGGAGGAUUUUGCAUCGCAGUCUUCCUGCGCUGGUUCAUUCCCUGGACGAACGACACCAACCAAGGGAGUGAGUCCAGUGACAUCCUGAUCAUUCAGUCAUUGAGGAUUUGAAAAGAGGCAUCAAGGCAGCAAAUGGGGCAGUAUUUUGAUCUCAUUUUGUGUGAUGCAUUUAUAAAUGGGGCAGUAUUUUGAUCUCAUUUCCACUGACGCAUUUAUUAUUUGUCGUCUUCAUUACAUACCACCAAGUUCGGGUUGCUUUUCUUAUAUCACUAUUUUGUAGUCUGCUUCACCGUGAACUUGAAUGAAGACCCAGAUUGUUAUCUAAUUUGUGAAAGUCAUUGAGCUGCUGCUACGCGCACUAGAAGAUUGUGUUGGUAGGAUUUUGUACUAUUUGUUGAGUUCUUCCAUUGUCUAGCUUAUUUGCAUGGUUACUGGUGUAUGUCGGUCAUGCAUCUGAAGCCACUUACUUUCCAGGAUUUUUAGGAUGGCGGCUAAGCUUCUCUUUAAUGUUGCUUUCUCUGAAAUAUUUUUUAGUACAGUUGGUGAUUCUGUUUCUGCCUGAUGACUUGUUAUAUUAUUGUUCCAGUUUCCAGAAUAAGCUAAUGGAAACUGUAUUUGGGUAGACAUGAUUUCAGGUUUGAUUGCAACCAUUUUCUUCUUCUGUUUUCCAUAUUUAGAAAUCUAGCCUCUAUUCCAAUUAUUACGACAAUUCAUCUUUUGAAGUGUAUUUCUUCUACAGGAAAGUUUCAUCUAUACCUUAAGAUAAAAAGUACCUGAUGAUGAACCAUACCAUAGCAAUCUUCAGUUAUAAACAUUGGCUAUGUUAUCUAGAAUUUUUAUAUUUUUCUUUACUGUGAACAUUUGUGAACCUUUGCUGGACUACUUGCCCUGGAUAAAUAGUAGGGCAUGAUAAUUGGUAAAUAUAGGAGCUGCAUAGGAAAAUUGACUGCCACAAAAAGAGUUAUAUUGGCAAUGGUUUCUGCAUUUAGUAUAAAAUAUUUUAGUUGAAAGAUUGCUUCAAAUCUAAAGUCAGAAGUGGCAAGUAUGUUGUCAUCACGGCACCACAUAGGUACAUAUGAUCAGCCAAACAUAGGCACAUAGGAUUACUACUCCGUUUUUUUGCAUAUGCAUCUAGCAGCAACUCUUUUGUGUUCUCGUCUUAAAUUUCCUAUUCAAGUAGUUCAAGGAAAUGGUUUCAAGUGGUGUGAAGGCUCCCAGUCAAUGUUUGGUUUACAAAUUUAAGAAUUAGCAUCGGUAGUUUAGGUGAGCACCAUGUGUACAUACUCAUCUCCCUGUUGUCUAUAUUACAUUGUUUCAAAUUUGAAAGUGCUUUAGGUAAUUCUUGGGUGCCUUGUGGAACGUUUCAAUUUCAGGCAUCAUUCCUAAAUUGUUUGGCGUCCAUGAAUUUCCCGAUGAGGUUGUUCUGCACCACACUGCAUCAUGUAGGAUUUUGUCGCUCGUGAUCUUUCUUGCUUAGGUGACCUGCCCCAAUCCUUCUUCCCCUUCCCAAUCAGGUUUGUCGUGUGUUCUGGUUUAGAUUUAACAUGAUUUUUUGAUUUACUGUGUUUUGUGUGAGUGGCAACAUGAUUGGAUUUUUGGAGAAAUGGGUAUUGUUGCUUCACUGCUAUAUGUGGUUGAUGCUUGGUUCAGAAAGGAACAAGUUCUAGAAUUGGUAAAACUGUCCUCGGUUCGAGUCAAAUUGCUUUAGCCCAUCUUAUUUUUUCAGGAUGCGUGCAUCAUAGGAUGUGUAUAAAGGGCAGCCCCAGUGCAUGUAGCUCCCGCUUGCGCAGGGUCUGGGGAAGGGUCCGACCACUUUGGGUCUAUUGUACGCAGCCUUUCCCUACAUCGUUUCUUCAUAGGAUGUGUAUGGAAGCACAAAAGUACUAUCAACAAUAAAAAGGGUCGUUUCACAUUUGUAUCGAAAGUAUACAUUUAAGAGCUUAGCAAAAGAAUAUUGUUCCAGGAGAAGAAUUAAUGCUCUGUUUUUUGCAUAUGCAUGCAACAACAACUCUUUUGUAUUCUGGUUCAAGAAAAUGUUUACUAUGUCAAGUGAGGAGUAGAAUUGAAGAAACGAUGCAGCUUUCAUAAUGUAAUAUGUAAUACGUACAAUUUUUUGGGGUAGUCUGUGUUGCUAGAAAGCUCCUGUUUAGAUACAGUAAUCUGCACUAAGCUUCAUGAUUCAUAGAAAGAAAAGAACUCCAUGAAGCUUCAGAUUCUUGUUAUGUUGUGAUUUUGUGAGAUUUAUGUAGGUAUUUUUUUAAUACCUAUGAAUUUUAGAACUGAGACCAUCUUGAAAACUAUGCUUCCAGCUGUUGUUGAUUUGUGUUGCCUUAGCAAUCCUGCUGUUUCCCCUCAAAAAUGUUGUACACAGGCUGGUUGUGACCAAUUGGUAAAGAGCCCUAUGUUAUGAAUGUGAAUAUCAAACAAAUUAAAUAUCAUUCUUGUGAUUCUAACGGGUAACAACUCAUUAAUAUUUAGCGCGAUAUGAUAGUGGUGGUAUUAGAUUAUGAUACAUGGUGCGAUUCUUAUUGUUUUCUCUCAGUAAUAUCUUCUUAUUGUUCAAUACUAUGAUCCACAGUGUGAUACUGAAAACCUUGAUUACUGUCGUGUUACAGUUUGUUGCAGUUCUAUUUUUCCUUGAGAUUGUGGUUAUAACAUAUAUUAUAUUUUCAGCUUUUAGAAUAAAGUGUGUAUAUCUUGGUUUGAGUUGCCCGCAAAACCAUUUUUAUGAGCUUGCGUCCCAUUAGAAUAGAGUGUGUAUAUCUUGAUUUGAGGUACCUUCCAAACUAAUAUUUAGAAGCUUGCAUAUUUCUAUUUGGGAAUGAGAUUUCUCUACUGAAUAUGUGAUUCUCACUUCUGAGUGGUAGAUUCUUUGUUCUUUUUGUCAUCUACUUUGACUUGUUGACAUGUAUAUAUCUAAGGAGCAGAAGGUGAAAGCGCAAAUCAAAAUCUCUAUUUUGAAAUGUGACGUUCUCUACUAAAUGUGAUUAUCACUUUUGUGUGGUAAUUUUCUGAGCCUAUGAAUUUCUUUGAUGGAGCAAACUCCUAUGGUUGCUGAUCAAUCACAAUAUUGACCAUGAACUUUUUGCCCAUCUCCGUGGUUGUUUUGCGUAUACCCCUUUGCUACUAUGUGGUAUUUCAUUGAAGCUGACGUCGCAAGAGGAAACGGAGGAUAUAUUCGUGAUCAGCACAUCGGUGUCUAAGGCUGCUUCCUGUAGUUUUUGUCACUGCGCCGACAAGUGAGAUAACAAACAUGGAUAUAUCAGUGUAGAUAAUUGUAUCUUUAUUUUCCGAUUAAUUUAAGUAAAAAAUAUCAAGAAUGAUGUUCGGAAAGCUAUGCUGGACCAGCUAGGACUAGCUCAUGAGACUUGGAAUGAAAGAUACCCGGGGCUCCUGGUGUAUGUGGGACAAUCAAGAACAAAAGUCUUUGCGUAUCUGAAGGAUAGAAUUUGGCAACGUAUACAAUGGUGGAAGGAAAAGAUGCUAAGCAAGGCAAGGAAGGAGAUUCUGAUAAUGGCUUGCGCCCAGGCCAUACCCACUUUUGCCAUGUCUCUGCGCCAUUUGGCGCACCGGCAGCUGGUCUUAUCUUUUGACGACCCAAAUAUCAGAUGGAGUCGAUUCAAGCACCACAUGCUGGAAAUACUGCACCAUAGUGACAUAAGGGGCAUCGCAUUCAGGAAACCUAAUGAUUCCAUAUACACCUUCCCAAUGCCUGAUUGCAUGUGCCAACAAGAUGGAAUAUGAUCUAGGCGUUAGCAUACAUAACUGAGGGAUGCAUAUCCUCUGCCUUUGUGCAACAAAGGCACCAAAGGCAUGUCAUUGUUGGCUGCAUGAUCAGGAUUUGAUGGUCAUGAUGUAAACUGGAGUGAAAUAAAGCAUUUGGUGCUUCUCAGGAGAUUCUGAAACCCUCUGGCAUACCCCAAACCGUUCGAUUCUGGAUAUAAUGGUCAAAAGGUGCCUAAUGACAAUGAAUUCCAUAGGAACAGAAAUUGAGAGGAUGCGAGGGAUUUUGUAAAGUUAGUAAUAUAUCGGUAGUCUACCAUAUAGCAAUCUCCAUUUGUUCAAUCUAUCUGUAGGUUGUAAAGUGAAAAGAGCUACGAGAUUGAGUUGUAGAUAUGAGUACAACCUGAGUGCCUCGAUGUAUAUUCGAAAAACAAGGGCUAACAAAAACAAAGAAAGGAAAUUUUCAGUAUAUCAUUACUCAUCAG
rnacentral:rRNA from 1 species